rnacentral:rRNA from 1 species
UACGUAGGGUGCGAGCGUUGUCCGGAAUUACUGGGCGUAAAGAGCUCGUAGGUGGUUUGUCGCGUUGUUCGUGAAAACUCACAACUCAAUUGUGGGCGUGCGGGCGAUACGGGCAGACUGGAGUACUGCAGGGGAGACUGGAAUUCCUGGUGUAGCGGUGGAAUGCGCAGAUAUCAGGAGGAACACCGGUGGCGAAGGCGGGUCUCUGGGCAGUAACUGACGCUGGAGGAGCGAAAGCGUGGGGAGCGAACAG